AGAGACAGCAGUCGCCGCGGGAAUACAGAGGGUGCAAGCGUUAAUCGGAAUUACUGGGCGUAAAGCGCGCGUAGGUGGUUCGCCAAGUUGGAUGUGAAAUCCCCGGGCUCAACCUGGGAACUGCAUCCAAAACUGGCGAGCUAGAGUAUGGUAGAGGGUGGUGGAAUUUCCUGUGUAGCGGUGAAAUGCGUAGAUAUAGGAAGGAACAUCAGUGGCGAAGGCGACCACCUGGACUGGUACUGACACUGAGGUGCGAAAGCGUGGGGAGCAAACAGGAUUAGAUACCCCAGUAGUCCCUGUCUCUUAUAC
rnacentral:rRNA from 1 species